rnacentral:tRNA from 1 species
GUGGAUAUAGCUCAGUAGUAGAGCACGUGCUUAGCAUGCACAAGGCCCUGGGUUCAGUCCUCAGCACCUCCA